CGUAGGGGGCGAGCGUUGUCCGGACUCAUUGGGCGUAAAGAGCUCGUAGGCGGUUUGGCAAGUCAGGUGUGAAAUCUCCGGGCUCAACUCGGAGAGGCCACCUGAUACUGCUAUGACUAGAGUCCGGUAGGGGACCAUGGAAUUCCUGGUGUAGCGGUGAAAUGCGCAGAUAUCAGGAGGAACACCGGUGGCGAAGGCGGUGGUCUGGGCCGGUACUGACGCUGAGGAGCGAAAGCGUGGGGAGCGAACAGGAUUAGAUACCCUGGUAGUCCACGCCGUAAACGUUGGGCACUAGGUGUGGGGCCUUAUCAACGGGUUCCGUGCCGUAGCUAACGCAUUAAGUGCCCCGCCUGGGGAGUACGGCCGCAAGGCUA
rnacentral:rRNA from 1 species